rnacentral:sRNA from 1 species
AAUCCUACAGAUAACCUAGCAAGGGGGCAAUCUACUAAAUCAUCUAAAUCCCUAAUGAGAAACCCUAAACCUAACAAGAAAACUA